AAUAAGACGAGAAGACCCUAUGGAGCUUAAAUUUUUUAUCCAAGUAAACAUUUCUAAUUCAAUAAGAUAUAAAAUCCUUACUGAUGGAUAAAAAUUUUUGGUUGGGGUGACCUCGGAGCAUAAAUCAGCCUCCGAAUGAUCUUAAUUAAGACUUUCACCCGUCUAAAUUUUCACUCAUGAAUUGACCCAAGCUAUUGAUCAACGGAACAAGUUACCCUAGGGAUAACAGCGCAAUCCUACCCAAGAGUCCCUAUCGACAGUAGGGUUUACGACCUCGAUGUUGGAUCAGGACAUCCAAAUGGUGUAGCAGCUAUUAACGGUUCGUUUGUUCAACGAUUAAAGUCCUACGUGAUCUGAGUUCAGACCGGAGUAAUCCAGGUCGGUUUCUAUCUAUU
rnacentral:rRNA from 1 species